CCUAUAGCGUGAUUUAGGGUGCCCGUACCGCAAACCGACACAGGUAGGCGAGGAGAGAAUCCUAAGGUGAGCGAGAGAACUCUCGUUAAGGAACUCGGCAAAAUGACCCCGUAACUUCGGGAGAAGGGGUGCUCUUGCGGGUGCAAGCCUGCGAGAGCCGCAGUGAAUAGGCCCAGGCGACUGUUUAGCAAAAACACAGGUCUCUGCGAAGCCGCAAGGCGAAGUAUAGGGGCUGACACCUGCCCGGUGCUGGAAGGUUAAGAGGAGGGGUUAGCACGUUAGUGCGAAGCUCUGAAUUGAAGCCCCAGUAAACGGCGGCCGUAACUA
rnacentral:rRNA from 1 species